rnacentral:rRNA from 1 species
UACGGGGGGGGGCCAGCGUUGUUCGGAAUUAUUGGGCGUAAAGGGCGCGUAGGCGGCCUGCUAAGUCGAACGUGAAAUCCCCGGGCUCAACCCGGGAACUGCGUCCGAUACUGGUGGGCUUGAAUCCGGGAGAGGGAUGUGGAAUUCCAGGUGUAGCGGUGAAAUGCGUAGAUAUCUGGAGGAACACCGGUGGCGAAGGCGGCAUCCUGGACCGGUAUUGACGCUGAGGCGCGAAAGCUAGGGGAGCAAACGGGG